AGAAAAACAAGAAAACAAAAACAAUAAAACAACAACAAAAACGAGAAUCGUGUAGCGCUGAGCUCAAACGAAAAUCACCCGAAGUUAUAAAGCACCAAGCAGCGCCGCGCUGAGCCAAAAAUCGCGCAAACGAUUUGCUGCUUCGACACAAGCAAAGCAAGAAAAGCGGCAAAGUAGAGCUUUGCUUAUCAGCAAGCGUGUGAAUAAUAGUUGUACCGACUCGCGAGACUCAUCAUUCUGGUAUUGCAGCAAUUACUUCACAAUUUGAGUUGCAGUUGUCACAGCACUUGCUUGCGAAGCACUCACCUGUAGUGCAACAAUAUACUUGAGCGCCGCUGCGUGUGCGCUGUAAACGCCCUUUGGCUUUUGGAAUUUGCACACAUCUUCACGCGCCAGCUUUACUCACCCAGCAAUUGCCGCUAACGACGCCAAAAUGCGCGGCCGCCACCUACGCAGACGUUUCAGCUUGCAGCCGUCCUUCAUGAAGGAUGACAGCUCGGAGGAUAAACCGAAACGCGACAAAGUUGGGCGCAACAAUGCCGUGGAUGACGCCAUUGGACCCGCUAACGCACGUCACAAAAUCGUUGUUAUGGGUGCGGCCAAAGUGGGCAAAACUUCCAUAAUCACACAAUUUCUGUACAACACAUUCACCACGAAAUACAAAAGGACCAUCGAGGAAAUGCAUCAAGGCAACUUUUCAAUUGCCGGCGUUAGCCUGACGCUGGACAUUCUAGAUACGGCCGGCUCCUAUGAGUUUCCUGCAAUGCGCGCGCUCUCCAUCUCAUCGGCGGAUGCAUUCAUUCUGGUGUAUGAUGUCACCGAUGCGUCCACAUUCGAGGAGGUGCGCAUGAUACGCGAUCAAAUACACGAGACCAAAGCGACCACAGCUGUGCCCAUUGUGGUGGUGGGCAAUAAAAUUGACCUAGUUGCCGAGAAGGAGGACGCCAGGAAGGUUGAAUAUGCCACCACAGAAUCUGUGGUCACUCUAGACUGGGAAAAUGGCUUUGUCGAAGCGUCUGCGGCGAAGAAUGAAAACAUCACACAGGUCUUCAAAGAGCUGCUGUCACAGGCGAAAAUCACGUACAAUCUGAGUCCAGCACUGCGGCGCCGACGACAGUCGUUGCCACAGCAAGUGGGCAACAAUGGAGCGGGCACGCCCACCCAUCACCAUCAUCCAUCACAUGCAGCCAACACGUCGGCAGCGGGCAGUGCACACGGCUCCACAUUGCCAUCGCAUGCGCCAACAGCCGCGCAAAUACAACAUUUGCAGAGGAUACAGGAGCGAAGCUUGGGCAGCAAACGGAAUUCGUGCACAAUAUCCUAAAGUCAAUAUGCAGCAGCGAUGUGAGCGGCAGUGGCGGUGACGAACUACUGAAGAAAUGCACAUUUAUCUGCAAAUGCAUACAUACAUACACACAAAUAGUGUACCCACAUAAGUUUAGCAUAUGAACGAUUGGGCACACAAAAAACGAGCAGCACAACUUCGUAAUGGACAUUGAUUACGGCAGCUAAAAGCAAAUGUUUGUAUAUAUUGUAAACUAUUGCGAUAUAACAAUGCAAAUGUACAGUUAUGCAAACACUGCAUAUGUAUGUGUGCAUUUCUGCGCGUCAGUGAACAAUGCUAUAACAAAUAUUAGAAUAAACAUUAGAUUUAUAUAAACAUAUAUACACAUAUAAUGUAUGUGUGCUACUGCAGAACUCACAUACAAACACAUAGCGAUAAAUAUAUUUACAUAAAAGCGCAUGAAAUAUGGAUGCAAUGACGACAGUGGCACAGUGGCGCGAAAACACUCUUCGAAGCGACAAUUCUUCAAAACUUCUUCCGUUCAAAACAAACAGUGAUUUUGCAAUGAAUUACCUGAUUUCACACAAACUACAAAUAAUUUACUUCAACGGAUGAGAGACAAACAAAAACAAAAACGCAAAUACAUACAAACAUACUUAUAUACUUAUAUAGAAAAAAGUUAUUGAAAUUUAUGCCUGCAACUAUCCAAAUACUUUAACUGUGUAACUAAUGCAAUGUAAACACAUACAAACACAUAUAUUUAUACAAUAAUACAAAGAUAUAUUUACGUGCGAUUUAUAUACAGACGUGCGUAAUGACUGGUUUCCGCAUAAUUAUUAAUUAAAACAACAAAAAUGUAUGCAAAAAAUAUUUAAAAAAAAUAGCCGAAAUAUACAUAUAUACAGAUAAUUAAUUAUUAUAGAUAAAUCGCUUCUCAGUUUUAUGUAUUCCAACUUAUACGCCACUCUUUCAACGACUUAUAAACAUAACCUCAAAUUCCGCAAAUGUCAAAACUUAAUUAAUAACUAUUACAAUAAUGUAUGCUAUGAAAACUAAAUCUGUAAGCAGUCAGUAUAUUCAUAUAAAUAUUAUA
rnacentral:misc_RNA from 1 species